UGAAUUCACGGUUCAUUAAAAAUUGACGUCGAUAGACGUGUUUGAAGGCCUGCGGAGAAAAAAGUUACAGAAAUAUCAAAAUGUAAAUUAUGCAUUAACUGAGAAAUAUGCUGAAUCUAAUAUUAAACAAAUUGUCGAAACGGAAUCCUAUAACUUAAACUCAGGCACAUUCCACCUUAAAUGAAUAAAAUGUUAUAAAAGUAUAUGCCAACCUUGUUGAAAUCCUGACAUUUUAUUGCCCGUAAAGAGUGGGUUUUUUUUCCAAAAUGUCGUACAGUUUUAGAAUGUCAACUAAAGCAACAGAAUGUUAAAUGGAUGCAAUGGUAGCAUUGAGCCUAUUGACUCGACAUGCCUUUGAAAUUAUUAGUAAUAAUCAUGUAAAUUAACAUAACAUUCCUAUAUUUUUAACGUUUACAGUAAAUCAAGCAUUUAUCAUUGUAUAGAACAAUACCAAUAACGUUAUUAAUUAUAUCCUUAAUUGGCCGCCAUUAAUGUGUUCGUCUGGAGUCUGCUUUUCAAGGCAACAAUCCCAUUUCUUUAGAGCCAUUCUGAAAGAAGAAGUGAACUUGUUUCACGCUGAUAGACAGGGGAUUUUAGUAGAAAAGGUGUCAGUUUUCAAAUCAAGGAGGAAUAACACACUCAAAUCUAAAGGGAACAAACAAAAGAAGAUCUGGACAACAUGAAGUCACUUAAACUAAAUCUGAUUCUUAUUUCGCUGGCAAUCAUCGCUCUCGUAAUAGAUAUUAAAGGUCAACUAUGUAAUCAAAAAACAUGCGAAGAUAUAAAAGGCAGGUGCGCAAGAAAAGGACAAAGUAUGAGAUGUGCAAGGAUAGGGCGAACCUGUCGCUGCAAGUCAAGUUUAAUUCUGAACAAACUUCCUCCGUUUUACGAGAAACAAUCGGUUAAUGGACUCGAGGCCACACUUGAUAUUUCUCUCGCUAUACAGAGUAACGGAAAAGCUGGAAGUGUCAUUGACAAUGACAAUACAAAUGACACAGAUUACUGACUGAUUUCAUGUUGUAAAUGGAAUAAUUAAUAUAUUGAACGUGGUUUGUCGUGGACAUAGUUUUACCAAAUUGAAUGUUGAUUGUUAUGGUUAACAAAUAAUAUAUAAAGAAAGUAGUUAACCAUUACAUACUGUUGUAUUUCAUUUAUUUUAAAGAUUGCAAUCUAAAAAAAACUAAUAUUUGCAAGUAAAAUGUUCAUAAUAAAAAUUAAAGUUAACAGUCAAACCUUGUUGA
rnacentral:lncRNA from 1 species